CGCAUCUGUGCAUGCAGCAUAUCAAUAAGCGGAGGAAAAGAAACUAACAAGGAUUCCCCUAGUAACGGCGAGUGAAGCGGGAAGAGCUCAAAUUUGAAAUCUUAAAGGGUUUCCCUUUACGAAUUGUAGUUUAAAGAAGUGUUUUCUGUUGAGGUUUUGGUAAAAGUUCCUUUGGAAUAGGACAUCAUAGAGGGUGAGAAUCCCGUAUUUGACCUUUACUUUCAACUUUGUGAUACACUUUCAAAGAGUCGGAUUGUUUGGGAAUGCAGUCCAAAAUGGGUGGUAAAUUUCAUCUAAAGCUAAAUAUUGGCGAGAGACCGAUAGCGAACAAGUACCGUGAGGGAAAGAUGAAAAGAACUUUGAAAAGAGAGUUAAACAGUACGUGAAAUUGUCAAAAGGGAAGCGUUUGACACCAGUGUUGUUUUUCUGAAAAUCAAUUAAAGAACUGUUUAUGCUAAGCUGUUUAGACUUUAUCAGCUAUCUGUUUAGUUUUGAGCUUUUCUUUAAUGCACUUUUCAGUUAGCAAGUCAACAUCAAUUUCUUUUGCUGUAAAAAAGCUUGAGGAAGGUGGCUUGAGAUUCGUCUUAAGUGUUUAUAGCCUCUUGCCUAUGCAGUCGGAGAGAUUGAGGUCUGCAGCGUAGAUCCUUCGGGGCUAAAUGCAUUUGUGCUAAGUUAUAGCAUUUUAUAGACAACUUGUUGACUAUGAUUUGUCUUGUAGCUUACUCGCUUAUGUUAUUUUACCUACGCUUAGGAUGUUGAACGCGCACAGAGUCUC
rnacentral:rRNA from 1 species